UUUUUUUUUUUUUUUUUUUUUUGGUAGAUCCUCAUUUCCUCAUCACUGUUACUUAGCUCAUUUCUUUUUCUUUGGAAAAUCCCAAAGAACCAUCUUGAAGAUGCUUCCAGGGACAGCAUCGGAACAAGCUUUGCAUCUGAAGCGCAGACCAAUAGCAAUGGUGUGUGUGCGCCAGUGGAAAAGUUGGUUUUUGAAGGAGAAAUGUGAAAGAGCAAGAACCGUUCUGAUGAGUUACAGCCUUUUAUCAGGUAAUGUUACAUUUGAUUAAAUGGGUGCCUGUUUAAAUACAACCAUGUGGCUGCAUUGCUGAACUCUGGGAAAUGAGUUAGAGCCAAACACGGAACUUCUACCCUGCCUUCCUGUGGGUGGAUGGUUGUACCAGUCGAGACCUAACUGGUAAGUGGCAGCAAUGUGAUUUUUAUUGUACCCAAGA
rnacentral:lncRNA from 1 species